UUGUCCUAAAUUGAAAAGCACCCUGCCUCAACACCUUUCUUCUUUACAAAAAUUGAAGAUCAGUGAUUGCAACGAGUUGGAGGAAUUGUUAUGCCUUGGAGAGUUUCCUUUGCUUAAAGAGAUUUCUAUAUCCUUUUGUCCCGAAUUGAAAAGGGCUCUGCAUCAACACCUUCCUUCUUUACAAAAACUGGAGAUUCGGAAUUGCAACAAGUUGGAGGAAUUGUUAUGCCUUGGAGAGUUUCCUUUGCUUAAAGAGAUUUCUAUAAGAAAUUGUCCCGAAUUGAAAAGGGCUCUGCCUCAACACCUUCCUUCUUUACAAAAACUGGAUGUAUUUGAUUGCAACGAGUUGGAGGAAUUGUUAUGCCUUGGAGAGUUUCCUUUGCUUAAAGAGAUUUCUAUAAGAAAUUGUCCCGAAUUGAAAAGGGCUCUGCAUCAACACCUUCCUUCUUUACAAAAACUGGAGAUUCGGAAUUGCAACAAGUUGGAGGAAUUGUUAUGCCUUGGAGAGUUUCCUUUGCUUAAAGAGAUUUCUAUAAGAAAUUGUCCCGAAUUGAAAAGGGCUCUGCAUCAACACCUUCCUUCUUUACAAAAUCUGGAGAUUCGGAAUUGCAACAAGUUGGAGGAAUUGUUAUGCCUUGGAGAGUUUCCUUUGCUUAAAGAGAUUUCUAUAAGAAAUUGUCCCGAAUUGAAAAGGGCUCUGCCUCAACACCUUCCUUCUUUACAAAAACUGGAUGUAUUUGAUUGCAACGAGUUGCAGGAAUUGUUAUGCCUUGGAGAGUUUCCUUUGCUUAAAGAGAUUUCUAUAUCCUUUUGUCCCGAAUUGAAAAGGGCUCUGCAUCAACACCUUCCUUCUUUACAAAAACUGGAGAUUCGGAAUUGCAACAAGUUGGAGGAAUUGUUAUGCCUUGGAGAGUUUCCUUUGCUUAAAGAGAUUUCUAUAACAAAUUGUCCCGAAUUGAAAAGGGCUCUGCCUCAACACCUUCCUUCUUUACAAAAACUGGAUGUAUUUGAUUGCAACGAGUUGCAGGAAUUGUUAUGCCUUGGAGAGUUUCCUUUGCUUAAAGAGAUUUCUAUAUCCUUUUGUCCCGAAUUGAAAAGGGCUCUGCAUCAACACCUUCCUUCUUUACAAAAACUGGAGAUUCGGAAUUGCAACAAGUUGGAGGAAUUGUUAUGCCUUGGAGAGUUUCCUUUGCUUAAAGAGAUUUCUAUAAGAAAUUGUCCCGAAUUGAAAAGGGCUCUGCCUCAACACCUUCCUUCUUUACAAAAACUGGAUGUAUUUGAUUGCAACGAGUUGGAGGAAUUGUUAUGCCUUGGAGAGUUUCCUUUGCUUAAAGAGAUUUCUAUAAGAAAUUGUCCCGAAUUGAAAAGGGCUCUGCCUCAACACCUUCCUUCUUUACAAAAACUGAAGAUUAGUAAUUGCAACAAGAUGGAGGCAUCAAUUCCCAAGUGUGAUAAUAUGAUAGAGUUAGAUAUACAGAGUUGUGAUAGAAUUUUGGUAAAUGAAUUGCCGACUAGCCUGAAAAAGUUACUC
rnacentral:lncRNA from 1 species